GCCGGGUGUGGUGGCUCACGCCUGUAAUCCCAGCACUUUGGGAGGCUGAGGUGGGUGGAUCACCUGAGGUCAGGAGUUCAAGACCAGCCUGAACAAUAUGGUGAAACCCCGUCUCUA
rfam:Nomascus leucogenys chromosome 22a, whole genome shotgun sequence.